rnacentral:rRNA from 1 species
CCUACGGGUGGCAGCAGUGAGGAAUAUUGGUCAAUGGACGGAAGUCUGAACCAGCCAUGCCGCGUGCAGGAAGACGGCUCUAUGAGUUGUAAACUUCUUUUGUACAAGGGUAAAGCUGAACACGUGUGUUCAGCUGAAAGUACUUUACGAAUAAGGAUCGGCUAACUCCGUUCCCGCAGCCGCGGUAAUACGGAGGAUCCAAGCGUUAUCCGGAUUUAUUGGGUUUAAAGGGUGCGUAGGAGGAUUGAUAAGUUAGAGGGGAAAUGUCCGGGCUUAACACGGGAACUGCCUUUGAUACUGUCGUGCUAGAGAGUAGAUGAGGUAGGCGGAAUGCAUGGUGUAGCGGUGAAAUGCUUAGAGAUCACGCAGAACACCGAUUGCGAAGGCAGCUUACCAGCCUAUAACUGACGUUGAGGCACGAAAGCGUGGGUAGCAAACAGGAUUAGAUACCCUAGUAGUC